CUUCCCCGGCUUCCUGUGAAUCAAAUGUUCGCGGGAAGCCUGAAAAAAGGAGCGGGCAGGAUUGGCUACAGGCGUUGUCGUUGGUGUCAGACCUAGGGUAGCAGCUGAUUUAGAUUAAGUGACUGGACUCUUGGGACUGGAAGUAACCUGAAUAUUAUGAUCUUCAGUCUGGACAGUAGAGUUGUGUGUCAUCCACAUACUAAUGGUAUUGCAGCCUACACCAAGCUCUCUCGCCAUCUUCCCCAGCAAACCUCUUGAGCAGCAGGGGGUAGCAGAAAGAAAGCCAGUGGAACCAGACAUCAGAAAACCCCACGGGCUGAUGAGCCAUUACCCAGUACCAGCCAAAAGAAAUCAGAGGAGAAGUAAUGGAAGCACUCAGUCAGCAUCUGCAGGGUAAUUGACAAAAAAACAAACAAAAAAAAAAAACCCACACCUCACAG